UAUUCCCCACUGCUGCCUCCCGUAGGAGUCUGGGCCGUAUCUCAGUCCCAAUGUGGCCGUUCAACCACUCAGUCCGGCUACUGAUCGCAGCCUUGGUAGGCCGUUACCCUACCAACUAGCUAAUCAGACGUGAGCCCAUCCCUCAGCGGAUUUCUCCUUUGGUAUCCAGAAGAUACCUCCCGAAUACGUCAUGCGGUAUUAGCAGUCGUUUCCAACUGUUGUCCCCCUCUGAAGGGCAGGUUGCUCACGCAUUACUCACCCGUUCGCCACUCAGUCAAAGAAGAACUUUGACGAAUCUCCAUUCUUCAGUGCUUCGUUCGACUUGCAUGUGUUAGGCAUGCCGCCAGCGUUCAUCCUGAGCCAA
rnacentral:rRNA from 1 species